rnacentral:tRNA from 1 species
GGUUCUGUGCUCUGGGAAGCCUCUGCCUUGCCAUGCAGGUGUUCCAGGUUCGAAUCCUGGCAGAACCC